AUUGAACGCUGGCGGCAUGCCUUACACAUGCAAGUCGAACGGUAACGCGGGGCAACCUGGCGACGAGUGGCGAACGGGUGAGUAAUGCAUCGGGACGUGCCUGGUAGUGGGGGAUAACUGCUCGAAAGAGCAGCUAAUACCGCAUACGACCUGAGGGUGAAAGGGGGGGAUCGCAAGACCUCUCGCUAUCAGAGCGGCCGAUGUCGGAUUAGCUAGUUGGGGGGGUAAAAGCCCACCAAGGCGACGAUCCGUAGCUGGUCUGAGAGGACGACCAGCCACACUGGGACUGAGACACGGCCCAGACUCCUACGGGAGGCAGCAGCGGGGAAUUUUGGACAAUGGACGCAAGUCUGAUCCAGCCAUGCCGCGUGCGGGAAGAAGGCCUUCGGGUUGUAAACCGCUUUUGUCAGGGAAGAAAUCUUCUGGGUUAAUACCCUGGGAGGAUGACGGUACCUGAAGAAUAAGCGCCGGCUAACUACGUGCCAGCCGCCGCAGUAACAC
rnacentral:rRNA from 1 species